UACGGAGGGAGCUAGCGUUGUUCGGAAUUACUGGGCGUAAAGCGCGUGUAGGCGGCUUUGCAAGUCGGGUGUGAAAGCCCCUGGGCUCAACCUAGGAAGUGCACUCGAAACUGCGAGACUUGAGUCCUGGAGAGGAAGGCGGAAUUCUCGGUGUAGAGGUGAAAUUCGUAGAUAUCGAGAGGAACACCGGUGGCGAAGGCGGCCUUCUGGACAGUGACUGACGCUGAGACGCGAAAGCGUGGGGGAGCAAACAGG
rnacentral:rRNA from 1 species